rnacentral:tRNA from 1 species
GUGUCUGUAGCUCAGUUGGAAGAGCGCGUGACUGUGGCUCACGAGGCCGCGGGUUCAAUCCCCGUCAGACACCC